rnacentral:tRNA from 1 species
GCCUUCGUGGGUCAGCACGCUGGGCUCGUAUUCCAGAGGUCCGUGGUUCGAGUCCCGGCGAAAGCA